GAUUAAGUUGCGCCAAGAGAGGGGGUCGUUAAUGCCAAACGACGAAUCCCUCGCUAAAAAAAUCUUGGGUUCCAUGAAUCUCGAUGCCAUUUCUUCCUCUACCGAUCCACCGAUUCAGAGAACUAAAUCCCUAAUCUCAUGCCAUUAUCUUCUUGCUUCUUCGAGCCUAUAUAUCCUUCUCUUUUGACCGAUUCAGGGAACUACUUCGUGUCCUUCAUUCUCAAUGCUAGAACUUUGAAGCGACGAAUACCCACCAUUUUGAAGUGUACACAGAGAGUUCAAUCGAAUACCCACCGUUUUGAAGAUUUGAAGCCAGAGAGUUUGCAGUGAAGACAGGGAGUUCAAUCGAAGCUUCAUUCCUGGUUUUCAGCUGAGUUAUCAUAAAUUCAAUGAAUUUCAACGAGAAAAAACAAUAUUGAGGAGGUUGCAACAGGGUGAUGUCGUGGCACUGAUUAGUGAUGCCGGGUCACCAAGUAUCAGUGACCCUGGUACAGAACUGGUAAAGCUAUGUAUAAAUGAGAAAAUUCCUGUUAUUCCUAUCCCUGGGCCUUAUGCUUGUAUAGCAGCUCUGUCUGCCUCGGGUUUGGACACUGAUGGAUUUAAAUUUGUUGGAUCUGGGGAGCAUCCCAAUGCACCAGGUGUCAAAUUUCCCAGCCCAGUACCCAAAGAUGCCUGCAUAGGUGUCUCACCAGGUGUCAAUUGGAUAACUUGCCAUUAAUCCUGAUUGGAGUUGCAAGUAACAUGUUUACUAGCCACCAAAAGUUCAAUUUAAUGACAUUAGAGACAGGAGGAGACCAUGAUGAAAUUUCUUACCGAGGGGGAGCUCAACACAAUAUGAUGACAUAUAAAAAAUCUGGAAAGUCUAUGAUGCUUUCUUAGCAGAGUUCCCUUUGUGUUAUGUUUACUGGAAGAAAUAUGCUGAUCAUGAGGGACGUCUGAGUUCUAUUGAGAAAGUUGUGGAGGUAUAUGAGCGAGCAGUUGAGGCUGUCACAUAUUCCGUGGACAUUUGGUUGCAUUAUUGUAUUUUUGCUAUAUCAACAUAUGGAGAUCCAGAUGCCAUUGGAAGGCAACUCCUAUGCACUUGUUUGUGGUCUUUUUAGUGUUGCAGGAUGAGGUCAUGUUCACUUGGCUUUCUCAUUGUAGUGAGAAUCUGGUGAUUUGUUACAUUUUCUAACCUUAUUUCAGUAUGCCUGCAACAGUGGUGCCUCGUGUAUGGCGGAAGGUUUGCUGGGAAUGCACUUAGGAAUGCAAUUUUCUGAUGUGCAAGCCCUCUAUUCUGAAUAUAGCCAUUUCAAAUUUCGUUUAGAAUUCAAUUAAUCCAAAUUUUAUGCCCUCAUUCUCUCCAUUCCCCUUUCACUUUUCUCCAAGGCCUGUGUAGUAGUCAUGUAGUUAGUCAUGAAUGUUUGUUGUCUUUAACUUUGACACUUUGAGGCUAUGGGUGCAUCAAUAUACAAAAUACUGCUGGGAAGAUAACGUUCAGUAAGGCAUAGUGAUUCUGUUUGUCAAGUCCUAGUGCUAGUGAAACUUACAAUGUUAUUGUGGAUAGGUCAUGGUUAGGUACUCAGAUUCAGGUAAAGAUGCUGGCCGCUUUACUGCUGCUUGGGAACUGUGCACAGAUAUUGUGCUUUACACAGGAGGCUUACAGCUUCCAAUUGUAGUCACACUUAUUGCCUCAUUUUUCUGAUCUAAGGUGGCAUUUCUUGAUUUUGGUCAUGCAGGUUAAGACCAUAUUUCUCCCUACAGAGAAGCCUAUGAGAUCAGAGGCAUGUGCUCCAUUAAUUGCACUCUCAUCAAACUCAACCCAGAUCAGAUGAUUGCCCUGAAACAUUCCAAUUAUUCUAGCAAGAUGAACAAUACGAGGAAGGUUGUAGAAGCCAAAGAUCAAGGGAAGAAGACAGUAACAGUCGGAGAUCAAAGGAACAAUAAAUUGUCAUAGAUCAAUAGAUUGUAUUUGAACAAUCUGUUUUCGAUAUUAUAAUGAUCAAUCUUUAUAUUAAUAGAUUGAGUUUUACAUUUAAACUUUUAUUUAAGUUGUAUUAAGUAUGUAUUAUAGUGGUGAAUC